UACGAAGGGGACUAGCGUUGUUCGGAUUUACUGGGCGUAAAGCGCGCGUAGGCGGAUCGCUAAGUUAGAGGUGAAAGCCCGGGGCUCAACCCCGGAAUUGCCUUUAAGACUGCAUCGCUUGAAUCCGGGAGAGGUGAGUGGAAUUCCGAGUGUAGAGGUGAAAUUCGUAGAUAUUCGGAAGAACACCAGUGGCGAAGGCGGCUCACUGGACCGGCAUUGACGCUGAGGUGCGAAAGCGUGGGGAGCAAACAGG
rnacentral:rRNA from 1 species